rnacentral:rRNA from 1 species
CCCUUAGAUGUCCUGGGCCGCACGCGCGUUACACUGAUGCAUUCAACGAGCUUAUAACCUUGGCCGAGAGGCCUGGGCAAUCUUGUUAACGUGCAUCGUGAUAGGGAUAGAUUAUUGAAAUUAUUAAUCUUGAACGAGGAAUUCCUAGUAAACGCAGAUCAUCAAUCUGCAUUGAUUGCGUCCCUGCCCUUUGUACACACCGCCCGUCGCACCUACCGAUUGGAUGGUCCGGUGAAGCCUCGGGAUUGUGGUUCUUGCCGCUUUAUUGUGGCGUGACCGCGAGAACUUGUCUAAACCUUAUCAUCUAGAGGAAGGUGAAGUCGUAACA